UUGAAAACAACAUGUUACAAAUUAUGUAUAAAAACUAUAGUUAGCAGCAUGAUAUAGUGCAAGGACGAGCUAGCCAGGUUGAAUUGGUUAGUAUCUCUCGACCGUGGAUGAGACACGACUUUUGUAUCAACAUAGACCAACGUGGCUCCUUCUAUCACCUGAAUACCUUAUACGUGUCGCCAUCUCUUAGGCCGCCCCCAUCCCUCUCUACUCUCUAG
rnacentral:lncRNA from 1 species